ACAGGAUUGUCAGUGUAAGAUGGAGGUUGGAGAACGAGUAACCUGCUGGAGAUUGAAAUCAUUGUGAAUGAGAAUAUUUUUAAUUUUGUUUUUUUUAACUUGUACUUUAUUCUUGUAAUUAUUUACCUUGCUUGUAUAGUUAUGAUUUUAAUGGUACUGAAACAUCUAAUCCAGGGGUGGCCAACAUUAGUCCUGGAGAGCCACAGUCCUGCAGAAUUCAGAUCCAACCCUAAUCAAACACACCUGAACCAGCUAAUCAAGGUCUGAGGGUGUCUAGAAAGCUGCAGUGAGUUCCUGACCAUGUUAAAGGUGGAUUCUCCUGGAAAAUCAACAGCUGCUGAGUAAUGCAGGAGCCUCCAUCCUCGUGUGCAGACCUGACUCAUGAAGUGGUUUGGCACCUCCAUAGUCCCAGAGCUGAAGCUGCUGUCCGCUCAUCUUUGGCUGGACUGAGACCUUGAUUCUACCAGAGGACAUGACUUCAUUUUCUUCCAGACCACACACUAAACAAGUAAGCUGGGAUCUUUGAGUUGGAUGUGUUAUCCUUUACAUUGAGUACUUCGGUAUUUACCUGAAUAAGCCUCAUGUCAUCAAAGCUUUUUUUUUGCCUCAUUUGCACUUGGCCUUUGGAAAUGUGGAGAACAUUGGUUCAGUUUCUUAUUCCAUUUAAAGAGCCAUAUUCAACCAGACACGGAUGCACUUCUCACACCAU